AUUGAACGCUGGCGGCAGGCCUAACACAUGCAAGUCGAGCGGGGUUUUCGGACCUAGCGGCGGACGGGUGAGUAAUGCGUAGGAAGCUGCCCGAUAGAGGGGGAUACCAGUUGGAAACGACUGUUAAUACCGCAUAAUGUCUACGGACCAAAGUGUGGGACCUUCGGGCCACAUGCUAUCGGAUGCGCCUACGUGGGAUUAGCUAGUUGGUGAGGUAAUGGCUCACCAAGGCGACGAUCUCUAGCUGGUUUGAGAGGAUGAUCAGCCACACUGGGACUGAGACACGGUCCAGACUCCUACGGGAGGCAGCAGUGGGGAAUAUUGGACAAUGGGCGCAAGCCUGAUCCAGCCAUGCCGCGUGUGUGAAGAAGGCCUUCGGGUUGUAAAGCACUUUCAGCGAGGAGGAAGGGUGGUGUGUUAAUAGCACAUCAUUUGACGUUACUCGCAGAAGAAGCACCGGCUAACUCUGUGCCAGCCGCCGCCGUAAAAC
rnacentral:rRNA from 1 species